rnacentral:other from 1 species
UAUCCCCUGCGGUGUGCGUUAAGGUCGAGUCAUCUUUUGAACCAAUACGAAACCGCCGGUUGCCGCACAUGGACACUGUUGUGCGCGUUCCUCGCGAAUGCGCCUGAUGUCGUUCCAGUGGCGACCCCUUGAACCCUAGGUUCAAGAUAUUGGCCUGACGGCAUUUGCGGGGGAUUC